rnacentral:lncRNA from 1 species
ACGUGACUGUCUUUUCUGUCUUCUACUCUGUGUCUUCGGACUCUUGGAAUACACAUUAAAGAAUGUCCCUGCACUUGUUCCUUUGAACACCUUGGAACACUGGUGUCCAAGAUCCUAGCUAUUUCUGAUUUCCAAAAAUAAAGAUGGAUUUUUUAGGAGAUGCAUUUUGUGGUUCAGAAUUGUGAGAAAUGAAGUAGGCACAAUAAAUUAGCAGUGGGGCGUGGGGGCACAAAGUAAUGGAAAACAGACCUAAGAACUGGGAAAGUGUAGCCGCCUGGGACCAGUUAGUGAAGGGGCAGGCAGCUCUGCACACCUCGGUGUCCCUGGGGCAUCCCUGGGGCAAAGGACGUAAUCUAUUUUAGAAAGCUUCCCAUCCAGAGAAAUGUCUAAACAUGCCACCAAGUAGUGUCUGUGCCUAAAAGGCAAAGCAGGUGCCCUUCAGGCAGUGAACAGGGGCAUGCUGGGGAGGAGAAGCAUUAGGGAUUAAAACCCUGAGAUGCUGCUGGGUGUGGAGGCCACACAAGUAACACCAGUUACUGGGGAGGCUGAGGCAGGAGGAUAGCAAGUUCCUGGUCAGUCUGGGCAACUUAGUGAGACCCUGUCUAAAAAUAAAAGUUAAAAGCAAAGAGGGAACUAGGAAUACAGCCAGUGGUAGAACACUUGCCUAGCAUGCACGUGGCCCUGGGUUCAGUCCCCAGUACUGAAGAAGACCCAAGCAAAAACAAAAUAAAACAAAAAAGUGGAGGUUUUGCGAGGUAAAAGGAAACACAAAAUGACAGACAGUGGUAGCUGCGUUCUUUAGGGUCAUGCAGCUCUAGGCACAUGGUUUUACAACUUAGUCAAGGCGAAUUAUAAAAACAGAAUGCACACCCUGGAAAGUGGCAAGGCUGGUCUGACCAUUUCUGCUGACUUUGAACCUAGGGAGUGAGACCACGCACAUUCAGACUCC